UGAGAGGUGCAAAUGACAUUUAUUGAGAUUGCUAUUAUAUAUAGAUUAGAAUUUUAAUUUUUCCCCAAUUAUUAUUCCAAAUAUCACACUGUAAACUCAUUGGUUUCAAUAGUUAUUCUUUUUCAUUGAAAAAAAUACUUUAUCUGGUGAGUAGUGUGAUUAAGCACAUAUUAGAAUUCCCAAAACCUAAAGUUAAAGUUGUCAAAUAAUCAAUUAACUCACUAAAAUUGCUAUCAUUCCUUAGAUGAAGUCUAAAAAAUGCCUUUUUACUGUAAACCCACGAACUGGUAUGUAGAAAUGAAUAAAAAUAAUUCAACAAGAGUAUGAAUGAAGUUUCAAGGAAAUAUGCCUUAUACAAAAAGGUUAAACUGAUGAGACUACGAUAUGCUGGAAAGAAUCAUCAAGCCUCCACUUUUUCUUUUAUGUUAAACGAACCUCCUCUUUAAACGAUGGCCUUUGGUAUUGGAACUUCCACUAAUAGCAAACAAUAAAUAUAUAUAUAUAUAUAUAUGAAGAAAAUAUGAGUGGGUUCCGGAAUUAGGAAUCAUGGGGAUGGGGGGCUAGAGACCAUAUUUAAUGUUGAUUUUCAAUGAUUACAUUGUUACCAAAACACGCUCCCGAUCUAUAUUUUUCUGAUAUUGACAAACACAAAUAUGUAUGGAAUCAAAACUCUUGUUUUAUUUUUGCGUGUGAAGAAACAAUUGAAGACAAUAUGUAAAAAUGAGAAUUCCUUUUUGACAAAAAAGAAAUAUCCACUUUUUUCAGUGGCUGACGCGAGAUCAACACCAAGAUAAGAAGGAGAAAAACUCAUGCUUAGUACACAUCUCUUCUUCAAAUAUUUUGCAUGUCUUUGCGAAGUCUGGCUUAUAUUUAUAGUCAUGCUUGCCUUCAUAAAGAUAACUCUAAUUAUGUACUACAUUUAUGUACACCAUUAAAUUAAGUACACGUAUAGUUUUCCUUGAA